GGGGGGGGGGGGGGGGGGGGGGGGGGGGGGGGGGGGGGGGGGGGCGGGCGGGGGGGGGGGCGGGCGGGGGCGGGGCGCGGGGGGACCGGGCCUUAGGUUCGGGGUGACUCCCCGAGGGGGGUGCUACUACCGGGUAAUGUCUGCGGCCCAAAGAUUUAUCGCCUUUGGAUGGGCCCGCGUGGGAUUAGCUCGUUGGUAGGGUCAACUCCUACCAAGGCGACGAUCCAUAGCUGGUCUGAGAGGAUGAUCCGCCACACUGGGACUGAGACACGGCCCAGACUCCUACGGGAGGAAGCAGUGGGGAAUAUUGGACAAUGGGCGAAAGCCUGAUCCAGCAAUGCCGCGUGAGUGAUGAAGGCCUUAGGGUUGUAAAGCUCUUUUACCCGGGAUGAUAAUGACAGUACCGGGAGAAUAAGCUCCGGCUAACUCCGUG
rnacentral:rRNA from 1 species